rnacentral:rRNA from 1 species
UCUCCUGAGUGGAUCCUGAGUACGGCGGAACACGUGAAAUUCCGUCGGAAUCCGGGAGGACCAUCUCCCAAGGCUAAAUACUCCCUAGUGACCGAUAGUGAACCAGUACCGUGAGGGAAAGGUGAAAGCACCCCGGAAGGGGAGUGAAAGAGAUCCUGAAACCGUGUGCCUACAAGUAGUCAGAGCCCGUUAACGGGUGAUGGCGUGCCUUUGUAGAAUGAACCGGCGAGUUACGAUCCCGUGCAAGGUUA